UACGUAGGGUGCAAGCGUUGUCCGGAAUUAUUGGGCGUAAAGAGCUCGUAGGCGGUCUGUCGCGUCGGCUGUGAAAACCCGGAGCUCAACUCCGGGCCUGCAGUCGAUACGGGCAGACUGGAGUUCGGCAGGGGAGACUGGGAAUUCCUGGUGUAGCGGUGAAAUGCGCAGAUAUCAGGAGGAACACCUGUGGCGAAAGCGGCUCACUGGACCAUAACUGACGCUGAUGCACGAAAGCUAGGGGAGCAAACAGGG
rnacentral:rRNA from 1 species